GAUGAACGCUGGCGGCGUGCCUAAUACAUGCAAGUCGAGCGAACAGACGAGGAGCUUGCUCCUCUGACGUUAGCGGCGGACGGGUGAGUAACACGUGGAUAACCUACCUAUAAGACUGGGAUAACUUCGGGAAACCGGAGCUAAUACCGGAUAAUAUAUUGAACCGCAUGGUUCAAUAGUGAAAGACGGUUUUGCUGUCACUUAUAGAUGGAUCCGCGCCGCAUUAGCUAGUUGGUAAGGUAACGGCUUACCAAGGCAACGAUGCGUAGCCGACCUGAGAGGGGGAUCGGCCACAUUGGAACUAAGAACCGGUCCAGACCCCUAGGGGAGGAAGCAGUGGGGAAUCUUCCGCAAUGGCGAAAGCCUGACGGAGCAACGCCGCGUGAGUGAUGAAGGUCUUCGGAUCGUAAAACUCUGUUAUUAGGGAAGAACAAAUGUGUAAGUAACUAUGCACGUCUUGACGGUACCUAAUCAGAAAGCCACGGCUAACUACGUG
rnacentral:rRNA from 1 species